AGUGAACGCUGGCGGUAGGCCUAACACAUGCAAGUCGAACGGCAGCACAGUAAGAGCUUGCUCUUACGGGUGGCGAGUGGCGGACGGGUGAGGAAUACAUCGGAAUCUACUUUUUCGGGGGGGAUAACGUAGGGAAACUUACGCUAAUACCGCAUACGACCUACGGGUGAAAGCAGGGGAUCUUCGGACCUUGCGCGAUUGAAUGAGCCGAUGUCGGAGUAGCUAGUUGGCGGGGUACAGGCCCACCAAGGCGACGAUCCGUAGCUGGUCUGAGAGGAUGAUCGGCCGCACUGGAGCUGAGCCACGGUCCAGACUCCUACGGGAGGCAGCAGUGGGGAAUGUUAGACAAUGGGCGCAAGCCUGGUCCAGCCAUACCGCGUGGGUGAAGAAGGCCUUCGGGUUGUAAAGCCCGUUUGUGGGGAAAGAAAAGCAGCAGGUUAAGACCCCGCUGUUCUGACGGUACCCAAAGAAGAAGCACCGGCUAACUUCGUG
rnacentral:rRNA from 1 species